GUCCCUUUGAUACUUCUUUCCCUCGUGCCUGCCACGGAAUAUGCAAGGAAGAUAAUAUUUCCAUUACUUAGAAGAAGUAAUUAAAAAAAGAACUUCUAGCUCGAUGUUCCUUUCUCUUUUUCACUCUUAAGGGGCAAAGGAGAGAAAUGAGGGAGAGAAGGAUGUUUUUGCCGAGUCCAACAUUUGGCUUUUUCCAUUUGUGGCAGAUCACUGUAACGCUAUUGUAAAACAACUUCCUGCCCCUUUUGGCUCACGUUCCAGAAGCUGCUAGGCUAAGUUCAUAGCACAAACUUUUUUCCCCCCUUGCCGAAGAAGAGAGACCAAAAAAAAUAAUAAUUAAAAAAUCCUGUAAAUUAUUUUCCCCCUUUUCUGGUUAAUGGACUCAAAAGGUGAAUUUAUUGCAGCUCUUUAAGAAUGUAACAACAAGAGACGUCGGUAUCCCCGCUGGAUAAUUCACAAGCUGAAAAGCAACAGCAUUUCUUGGUACGCCUGCUUUGGCAUACAUCAGCAUUUCUACCCGUCCAAGUGUCCUUUUGCGUCACAUCUCGCCAUUUCACUCAACCAAUGAAAUCUCCUUCUUGCAAUAAAAAUAUAUAUACUUUUUC